UGAACAGGUUCAUUGUUUGUUAACCAUGUCAAGCAGCUGUGUGCAGUCAGAGGGAAAGCACAGGUGCUGGAGCUGGAAGAAGUACUACAAAAAAACAGGACACCUUGUUUUCAAGGGUCAACUCUUGCACCCCAGCUCUUCCAGACUAAAAAAGGGGGCUUAAAGAAGGCGGAAUUUAGGUUGAGUCCCUUCCCAGUCUCAGCUCAGCAUUUUAUUUUGUUUGCUGGCAUAUAUCUGAUCUGGAGCAACACCCCUGCCACCCUACUCUGAGUCUGUUUUCAGCAUACUGACCAUGGACCAAAGGAUUUAAUUACAUGCAGGAUUCUAAGCUGCUGCCAACUUCAAGGUUUGAGUUUUCAGGAGCUAUUGACAUCGAUUCUUUAUUGUGGUGAGUUAAUCCAGUUAUGAAGGGGGAUGAAACCUUAUUUCCAAAGUGCAUACUUUGCGUGACGUUGUCCGGUAGACGUUUCAAGCAACAGAUGAGACCCUGAUGUUGAGUUAUUAUGGGAUGCAUUAAAUCCAAGCAGGAUUACACUGUGAAGAACGCUGUCCACUUGGGCAGUAAUCAUGAAAAUGAAGGAAA